rnacentral:rRNA from 1 species
GCAGGCUAACUCUGUGCCAGCAGCCGCGGUAAUACAGAGGGUGCAAGCGUUAAUCGGAUUUACUGGGCGUAAAGCGCGCGUAGGCGGCUAAUAAAAUCAAAUGUGAAAUCCCCGAGCUUAACUUGGGAAUUGCAUUCGAUACUGGUUAGCUAGAGUGUGGGAGAGGAUGGUAGAAUUCCAGGUGUAGCGGUGAAAUGCGUAGAGAUCUGGAGGAAUACCGAUGGCGAAGGCAGCCAUCUGGCCUAACACUGACGCUGAGGUGCGAAAGCAUGGGGAGCAAACAGGAUUAGAUACCCUGGUAGUCCAUGCCGUAAACGAUGUCUACUAGCCGUUGGGGCCUUUGAGGCUUUAGUGGCGCAGCUAACGCGAUAAGUAGACCGCCUGAGGAGUACGGUCGCAAGACUAAAACUCAAAUGAAUUGACGGGGGCCCGCACAAGCGGUGGAGCAUGUGGUUUAAUUCGAUGCAACGCGAAGAAACUUACCUGGCCUUGACAUAGUAAGAACUUUUCCAGAG